rnacentral:lncRNA from 1 species
AAUUAGUACAAAAUAUUAUCUUAUUGUAAAAUAAAUUUUGAUUGCUAAAAGGGAAUUGUACUAUAGUAUUUUAUAACAAAUAUAUUUAUGGCAUAUUCCUUUCACUAAAAAUAACUUUUAAAAAAUGAUUUCAAAAAAAUUACCAAACAAUGUAAAAUAUUUUAAGCAAAAUCAUGUAAACACUAAAAACUAUAAAUUUUUCUAGAAAAUCAAACUACAUUUUUAUAAUUAUUUAGUAAAAGUUGUUUUCGACGAAAUAAACUGAACAAAAAUUCAUUUUGUUCUCCAUUUAAUGAUUGAUGUAUAAAAAGGUACUGUAAAAGGUUUCUUUAAAUGAAAAUUGAUAUUCUUUGUAUGCACUAUUGAGAAUUCAAUGGCUGGUGAUUUAUCUUCGAGUCCAGGAAAUCACCAUCUUCCAAUUUAGCGAUUUUAUCUGCUACUCACGAGAAAUGCGUCUGAAGAAUAGGCCUCUGCAACUCCGUCUGACACUAUGCACUCACCCGACCAGUGAGAGUGGCAAGUUUGAAGUAUUCCCUUCCUACAGAACUCAAUUGCUUGCAUGCUAUCAGUCUCAACUACAAUCUGAGCAUGGCCUCUCGUUAAAGCCAAUUGAAUGCCUCCAAAAUGGGCCAAGGUUCUGCCUGUAUAACUGAACCCACAAUACUCCUGCAAAACCCCACUAUCCAGUUUGCCUUUUGAAUCAUGUAAUACACCCCCAAUCGAACUUUUGCCGUCAUCCAAAUUGAAUGCACCGUCCUUAUUCAAUUUUGUCUCGCCAAUGUUGGCCAGUAACCACUGAUCGUGAAUUUCUUUGUAACUCUUUUACUCAUUAAAAUAUAUCACAUUAAAAAUAGUGUCAUAUUAAUCUCUCUUUUUUUUUUGUUAAGAGUAUUUUUCUUAAUGUUCCAUAAUGUUUUCAAGAUUAUCCCACUAACACUUUAUAUAUUUUGCACCAAUAAUACAUGAAUAUAUGCAAAUUAUAAAUACAUAUAUGAUAAUUUAAACAUGGUUAUGAUACAUAAAAGUUAUAGAAUACGAUAUUAAUAAACAAAUUAUCAAAUCUACUCUCAAAUUUCAAGAGACAAGAAGAGAUCUAUAUUGAAACUGUGAAUUAAAUAAUUCAUUUAACUUUAUGGUGUUUAUAUAAUUUCAUCUCUUAUAAUUGUAAUUAAAGUAUUAUGUAUUUUUAAAAAGUUUGAUAUAAAUAUUAUGUUUUUAUAUUUUAUUUGUUGUUAUUGUAUGAUUUGGGGUGCCUAAUCUCAUUAUAAUUGUCAACGAAUAUCAAUUUUGUCAUUGUUUACGUGAGCCCUCUUUUUUAAAAAUACCCCAAGCCCAAAAGCAAAGUCAUUUCCUCAGCUACUCAGCUAUGAGGUAGUGGUGGUAGCGAAAGUAUUUGAUAAGUUCCUUAUUUAUGAUAAUUCCGUCAAUUUAAUCUUUCACCUUAGUUUUUGUAUUGUUAAAAAUAAUCUAAUAAAAGUUAAAUUUUAAUAGAGUUCAAAAUUAUUGUUUAAAAAAAUAAAAAAUUAUUUGUAGUUUAAUUCCAAAUAAAAAAUUUAAUUUACAUCGCAGCUCAACUGAUCUGGAACAGUAUUUGGAUUUACCUCAUUUGGUGGGUAGAAAUAAAAAAGCAUCUUUUUAGAAUUUGAAGGAUAGAUUACUAAAACGGAUUAAUAAUUGGAGUAUAAAACAUCUUUCUCAAGGUGGUAAGGAGGUUUUUAUCAAAACGGUUCUACAGUCUAUUCCUACUUAUUCAAUGGCAUGUUUCUUGCUUUUUAAGUCGUUAUGUGUUGAUUUGGAGGGUAUAAUUGCGAAAUUUUGGUGGAAAAAAAAAAGAGGCAAAAGGGGUAUACACUGGUGUGCAUGGAAUGAUAUGUGUUCAUUAAAAGAAGAUGGACGUCUCGGUUUUAAGAGACUUGAUAAAUUUAAUAUCGCAAUUCUUUGUUAGCCCGAGUUUUGAAAGCUAAAUAUUAUGUGAAUUCAAACUUUUUAAAUGCUCCUUUAGGGAACUCACCUUCACUUACCUGGAAGAGCAUCUGGUCAGCAAAAGGACUGUUGGAGAAGGGCCUAUGUUGGAGAGUUGGCAAGGGGGAUAGUAUCUCGGAUUGGACAGAUCUUUGGGUAUCGGAUAGCAACGAAGAUAGGAUACAAAAUGUACACAACAACAAAAAUAUAGUGUUAGUAUCGGACCUAAUCGAUGAAGUAAAUAGAAGUUGGAAGGCUGAAUUAAUUGCCAAUACCUUUCCGGUGAAUAUUGCUAGAAGAAUCAUGCAGAUCCCUUUGGUGAGGUCAGCCCAUGACGAUUUACAAGUUUGGAAAGGAGAACCAUCCGGUAAUUUCUCAGUGAGAAGUGCCUAUAUACUAAUGCAAAAGUCUACUCUAAAUCCUAGUAAUUUUUUACAGGCUAAUACUAAAGCUUUUUACAAGAAAUUGUGGAACAUAAACAUGCCUUUGAAAAUUAAAAUUACAGCGUGGAAGAUUUCUUGGGACUUUAUUCCCACUUUCUCAAAUCUCAAGUUAAAAAGAGUACCUAUUGAUGAUCGGUAUCCUAGGUGCUAGCAAAAUGGGGAGGAUAGCAAUCACGUUUUCCAACAGUGCCCUACAACGGUAGAAGUAUGGAGGUGUUUAAACUCUUCAUGGAUACUCAGUCACAAUGCACAAAACAUAUGGGAGUGGCUUACCUGGGUGUUUAGUCAAGGUACAAAUGAGCAGUGUUGACUCUUCUGUUGCUGGUUGUGGUUAAUCUGGACAAACAAAAACAAAUUAAUAUAUGAAAGGAAAAACACAACAGGUAGGGACAUCUCAAAGCAAAUUUACAGUUUUAUCUCAGAGUUAAAGGGGAUAGAGGAAAAAGAACUCAUCUUGGAAGAAGGCAGGAGACCCGGAUAUUAUGAACAGAGGACGUCUGUGGCUAUUUACUUUGAUGCGGCUUUUGAUCAACAAUCUUUUAGAUCGACGUCGGAGCUAGUAGUACGAGAUGUGGGAGGUAACAUUUUGGUAUCCAAGUUUGUACUUCACUCCGAUGUGGCAUCUCCGUUUGCGGCGGAAGCACAUGCAGGUUUUCAAGCAACAAAAUUAGGGAUUGAUAUGGGUUUUCAAGUUCUACAAAUAAUAGGAUAUUCAAGAAGGGUGAUAACAAAAUGCCAGAGUACAGAACAAGACAGAUCGAUGAUCAGGGCAAUCAUAAGAUAUAUUCAAAGUACAAAGAAUCAUUUUCAAGAACUUCAAUUUCGUUUUAUACCAAAGACAGGAAACAUUUAUGCCCAUUUCAUAGCAAAAGAAGCAUUAAAGAUUGGUGAAGGUCAAUACCUGGAAGGAGACAUCCCAAGUUCUGUUCGGAUUGUAAUAGAGAAGAAGCAUAUGAGAAUCACAGACCGAAAUGCUUGGUGAGAAAGGGUUUAAGGAGUUUCAAAUGGAAAGUAUUGAAAAGUCUCUUCUCUGAUAAUGUAGCAGAUAAGCAAAAUAUUGAAAAAGAUCUACUAUAGAGUAAUGGCUAGUGUUGGUGAUGUGAAACGUCUCUGUUGGAGACAUGAAUUGACAGGAAAUAAUGGUGACCAGCUGUUUUUGACGACUGGAUUUUAAAUUAGGUUUCCUUUUUAUCUUUUUAUCUACUUCAUUCUUAAGUCUGGUUUAAUUUUUGGGCCAUUCUGAUUAAGGCCUGGUACUUUUACUUUUCUUAUUAGGCCUGCGGUGUUGGAUUUAACCCAUCUCAGCAGGAAAACUUUCAUUUGUAUGAUGUUUUAUUUUAUUUUAAUCCAGUCGAUCCAUUCAAAAAAAAU